rnacentral:rRNA from 1 species
GAGAUUAGCGGCGGACGGGUGAGUAACACGUGGGCAACCUGCCUAUAAGACUGGGAUAACUUCGGGAAACCGGAGCUAAUACCGGAUACGUUCUUUUCUCGCAUGAGAGAAGAUGGAAAGACGGUUUACGCUGUCACUUAUAGAUGGGCCCGCGGCGCAUUAGCUAGUUGGUGAGGUAAUGGCUCACCAAGGCGACGAUGCGUAGCCGACCUGAGAGGGUGAUCGGCCACACUGGGACUGAGACACGGCCCAGACUCCUACGGGAGGCAGCAGUAGGGAAUCUUCCGCAAUGGACGAAAGUCUGACGGAGCAACGCCGCGUGAACGAAGAAGGCCUUCGGGUCGUAAAGUUCUGUUGUUAGGGAAGAACAAGUACCAGAGUAACUGCUGGUACCUUGACGGUACCUAACCAGAAAGCCACGGCUAACUACGUGCCAGCAGCCGCGGUAAUACGUAGGUGGCAAGCGUUGUCCGGAAUUAUUGGGCGUAAAGCGCGCGCAGGUGGUUCCUUAAGUCUGAUGUGAAAGCCCACGGCUCA